UACGUAGGGCGCAAGCGUUGUCCGGAAUUAUUGGGCGUAAAGAGCUCGUAGGUGGUUUGUUACAUCUGCUGUGAAAACCUAGGGCUUAACCCUGGGCCUGCAGUGGAUACGGGCAGACUAGAGGUAGGUAGGGGAGAAUGGAAUUCCCGGUGUAGCGGUGAAAUGCGCAGAUAUCGGGAGGAACACCGGUGGCGAAGGCGGUUCUCUGGGCCUUACCUGACACUGAGGAGCGAAAGCGUGGGGAGCGAACAGG
rnacentral:rRNA from 1 species